UAAGUUUGCUUACUGCGUGUCAAGAACAGGUUUUCAGUAUUUCAAGCAUCUUUCUUAAAGGAGGACAAUGCGGCUAAACUGGAUUUAGCUAGCCAGAUUGACAGCAGACAAACGGAGAGAACAGGUCAUCUGCUCUCACCUUUGGCAGUGUGGACCAUCUGAGCAUAUAUUGCAGGGGGGAUGACGGACUGGGGAAGAUCCUGCAGGUACCUGCGCAGACCAUCACACAGGACGGGAAGCUCCACCUGAUCCAGGUCUGGUGAGGGAGGAUCUGAAGUGCAAUACAAUACAGAAUAAUGCUUAAAAACGGAAACUGCUUUGUGCGCAGUGAAAUAUUUAAUUACAUGCUAAUGUUCAAUCUGCAAAACUAUCUGAUGCAUACAUGUAGAUGCAACCAUGGCUGAUACAAUAAAGCCUCCAGAAACCA